rnacentral:snoRNA from 1 species
AUGCAGGUACUGUUAAAACUGAAGUGUUUUAUGGUCUUUUCCUCCUGUUUAAAGCAUUUGGUACAUAAGUAUCUCUAACUCCACUCCAUAAUAAAACGGAGACGCCUGGUCCCCAACAU